GUGAACGCUGGCGGCGUGCUUAACACAUGCAAGUCGAACGGUAACAGGAAGUAGCUUGCUACUUUGCUGACGAGUGGCGCACGGGUGAGUAUACCAUAGAUAAUGUACCUCUUAGUUUGGGAUAGCCACUGGAAACGGUGAUUAAUACCAGAUACUCCUUCUCGUUAUAAGACGAGUCGGGAAAGUUUUUUCGCUAAGAGAUCAGUCUAUGUCCUAUCAGCUAGUUGGUGAGGUAAUGGCUCACCAAGGCUAUGACGGGUAUCUGGUUUGAGAGGAUGAUCAGACACACUGGAACUGAGACACGGUCCAGACUCCUACGGGAGGCAGCAGUGAGGAAUAUUGCACAAUGGAGGAAACUCUGAUGCAGCAACGCCGCGUGGAGGAUGACGCAUUUCGGUGUGUAAACUCCUUUUAUAUGUCAAGAAAAUGACGGUAGCAUAUGAAUAAGCACCGGCUAACUCCGU
rnacentral:rRNA from 1 species